GACGAACGCUGGCGGCGUGCUUAACACAUGCAAGUCGAACGGAAAGGCCCUGCUUUUGUGGGGUGCUCGAGUGGCGAACGGGUGAGUAACACGUGAGUAACCUGCCCUUGACUUUGGGAUAACUUCAGGAAACUGGGCUAAUACCGGAUAGGAGCUCCUGCUGCGUGGUGGGGGUUGGAAAGUUUCGGCGGUUGGGGAUGGACUCGCGGCUUAUCAGCUUGUUGGUGGGGUAGUGGCUUACCAAGGCUUUGACGGGUAGCCGGCCUGAGAGGGUGACCGGCCACAUUGGGACUGAGAUACGGCCCAGACUCCUACGGGAGGCAGCAGUGGGGAAUAUUGCACAAUGGGCGGAAGCCUGAUGCAGCAACGCCGCGUGCGGGAUGACGGCCUUCGGGUUGUAAACCGCUUUCGCCUGUGACGAAGCGUGAGUGACGGUAAUGGGUAAAGAAGCACCGGCUAACUACGUG
rnacentral:rRNA from 1 species